rnacentral:rRNA from 1 species
CGCGUAGGUGGUUAAUUAAGUCAAAUGUGAAAUCCCCGAGCUUAACUUGGGAAUUGCAUUCGAUACUGGUUAGCUAGAGUAUGGGAGAGGAUGGUAGAAUUCCAGGUGUAGCGGUGAAAUGCGUAGAGAUCUGGAGGAAUACCGAUGGCGAAGGCAGCCAUCUGGCCUAAUACUGACACUGAGGUGCGAAAGCAUGGGGAGCAAACA